GCAGCAGCCACGGGAAUACAGAGGGUGCGAGCGUUAAUCGGAUUUACUGGGCGUAAAGCGUGCGUAGGCGGCUUCUUAAGUCGGAUGUGAAAUCCCUGAGCUUAACUUAGGAAUUGCAUUCGAUACUGGGAAGCUAGAGUAUGGGAGAGGAUGGUAGAAUUCCAGGUGUAGCGGUGAAAUGCGUAGAGAUCUGGAGGAAUACCGAUGGCGAAGGCGGCCCCCUGGACAAAGACUGACGCUCAGGUGCGAAAGCGUGGGGAGCAAACAGGAUUAGAUACCCCCGUAGUCCCUGUCUCUUAUAC
rnacentral:rRNA from 1 species